AUACGGUUUGGAUAUAGGGAAAUAGAAAGUAGGUUUAAACAAAAAUGGCGGCCACAUUGAGAGCAUCGCAGGACACAUUUUCAGACGUUGCUUACGACGUGUGUUGUUCAAUAUGCAAAGAUGAUGGCAUAUAUACAGAAGGACUGUUUUAUUGUUUAAAAUGUUCAAAAUAUUUGUGUGACAGUUGUGUGAAAACGCACAAUAAGUUUCUAAAGGAUCAUUCAGUAACUACAAAAAGUAAAUGUGACAACUGGCCUCAUACAAAAACAGCCGAUGAUACACUGGAUUUAUGUGAGAUACACACAUCGGAGAAGCUGACGAUGUUCUGUGACGAUCAUGAAAAGCUGCUUUGUCAAUUUUGCUUGCUUCAUAAUCACAGACAAUGCAGUCAUGUUGUUCCAUUAGCUGACAAAAUCAAAUCUGCUACACAACGAAUGGACAUAGCUCAAAUGUCAACAAGCAAUGAACUGGUACAGAAACGUUUAGAGGAUAUGGUGAAAAUUGGAGAAGAAAACAUUAACUCACUGCAAACUUCAUACGAAAGAGCACUGAAAGAAAUACUAAAUGUACGUAAAAAGAUCAACGACAAUUUAGACCGACUACAACAAAAUUCAGUAAGAAAUUUGGAACAGUUUCACUCCAGUUUAAAGACUUCUCUUGAAAAUGAAAAUAAACGAUGCGUUGACUUUGUUUCUAAGCUGAGUGAUUACGACACUAAAGGCACACAUUUAACGUCGAUUGAGCGAUCUUUCAUUAAGUAUAGAAAAUGUCUGGAUUUUCCGGCUUCAACAGACUCAUUUUCUCGAAACGUAAUUAGUAAUGUUGAGAUUUUAUUUGAGCGCAACAAGGACUUAAAGCAGUUUCUCGCUUCUUGUACUGAGUUCGGAAAAAUCUCCUGUCGCGAGGCUGUGUCGCAUCACCGCGUUGAUCCAAACGACGUUGUUAGCAUUGUGGACAGAUCACAAUACAUGGUGCGAACACCAACCGAUACGAGCGACUGUUACAUAAGUGGCAUAUGCGAGUCGUCCGAUAGGGAAUUCUAAAUUGUGGAUCAAAACAAUCAGUGCUUGAAACUCUUGGACCAGGCGUAUACUUUGAUAGAGACGAUGCAACUGCCAUCGUUGUCGUGGUCCGUGUGUAAUAUAUCCACCAACGAGAUAGCGGUCACAGUUUGUAAGUAUGGCUCUGAUAACGAGAUUGAUUUCUUUCGAGUCAACAAAGGGCGGAUUGUAAAGUGUAAGACUCUCCCACUGAAGCAUGCAUGUUACGGUAUUGCGAUUCAUCAGGGCGAUAUGUAUAUAACUUCUGGUUCUGAAGUAUUCCAAUACACGUCGGAUGGUCGGUUGGUGAAGGUGUUGUAUAAACAUGCAUCUGGGUGUUUGAUGGGUGUUGGAGUGAGUUCUGAUGGAAAGAGGAUCUAUGUGACAAACAGUACAGAUGGCCAGCUCUUCACUCUGACUCGGGAUGUAGAAGUCGCAGCAACACUAGCGGAUCUUGCAUUCAAAUGUACAAAUUCAUCAUGCAACCUACAUGUGGUAGCCACGGGACAGGUGUUUGUCUUUGGUAACUAUACUUUAAGUCAGGUAGACACAGACGGCAAGAAAAUCCUCAACACCAUGAUACUUGAUAUUGAUAUGAUACAUAUUGGAUCUGUCUAUUUCAGCAAAGACACAAGCAAGAUGAUGAUUGGAUUAAUAAACAACAACCACGUUCUUGAGUUCAAUACAAACAUGGACAUGGCAUUUCGAAAUUUUCAUUUUUGACAGUGUCCAAUUUUUGGUAUAAUAACGAGACCGUUUCAUCUUAAUUACCAUUAUACGAUUUACGUAAAUUUGAAAUGCAAUUGUCACAUGAACUUAUCUUUGUUUUUCUACGAAACUUAAUUGAGUCAUUUUUCUACAAUUAACUAACCAUUUUCACUUCAAGAAACGUACUUUGUUUAACACUUUACUCACGUUCAAGGCUAAAUGUGUUGACAUUAAGUUAAAAUGAUCUGAACACAACAACUAUUGCAAUGUUUACAGUAAUGAAAUUGUUAAUAUAUUUUAAAAUAAGAGAAACAUCUAAUGACGAAAUUAAACGUGCGUAAAAAGUACGAUAUUGAACAAUUUAAGCCUUAUUUAAAUUUGUAAAUUUUAAUUUCUCUUCGAAAUAUAUGUAGUAAAUUCAGAAAAAACUAAUUAUGAAAGAUGAAGUGUAAUUGAAAUGGGUAUUUCUGCAAUCUUUUAUGUUUUAUGUUAAAAAUAUAUUAAUGCGCAUGUAAGGUUUUUUGUACUUUGCAACUCACUUGGGCUCUCAGACUUUAUACCCUCAUAACCAGCGAUUGAUAUGAUUUAUCUCAAUAACAUAUCCACAUAUAAAAAUGUAUGUUCUAUUGAUUGUAACCAUGUGGAGGAGACUUUUUGCUUUUGACAAUUCCAAAUACAGUGUUCAUAAUAUAUCUCUUCUAAAUGUAAAAAGUAUAUAUUUUUAUUUCAAAAUCAAAUGAAGAAACGUGUUUUUAUAUAAGAAUGUUCCUGUAUUAUACCCUACAAAAUAUAUGUCAUUCUUUAUCUUAACACAUCUUUUUUUCUCCUAUGUUAGUUAUUUUGAAUGUUUGUGUAUUACCAGCUUAUGGUUUUGAAGUUCGCACUUGUAAUGUCUUUAUUAGGAACCGUUUUUUAUCCCCAUUUUUUUAAUAGAUGCUUUAAAAAGCUUGUCACCUAAUUGUUGUAACUUAGAAUUAAACAUGGAAUAGUU